GAUGAACGCUGGCGGCGUGCCUAAUACAUGCAAGUCGAGCGAACAGACGAGGAGCUUGCUCCUCUGACGUUAGCGGCGGACGGGUGAGUAACACGUGGAUAACCUACCUAUAAGACUGGGAUAACUUCGGGAAACCGGAGCUAAUACCGGAUAAUAUAUUGAACCGCAUGGUUCAAUAGUGAAAGACGGUUUUGCUGUCACUUAUAGAUGGAUCCGCGCCGCAUUAGCUAGUUGGUAAGGUAACGGCUUACCAAGGCGACGAUGCGUAGCCGACCUGAGAGGGUGAUCGGCCACACUGGAACUGAGACACGGUCCAGACUCCUACGGGAGGCAGCAGUAGGGAAUCUUCCGCAAUGGGCGAAAGCCUGACGGAGCAACGCCGCGUGAGUGAUGAAGGUCUUCGGAUCGUAAAACUCUGUUAUUAGGGAAGAACAAAUGUGUAAGUAACUAUGCACGUCUUGACGGUACAUAAUCAGAAAGCCACGGCUAACUACGU
rnacentral:rRNA from 1 species